GUCAAGUCAGCAUGGCCUUUAUAUCCUGGGCUACACACACGCUACAAUGGCCAACACAAUAGGUUGCUAAGCCGCGAGGUGGCGCCAAUCCAUAAAGUUGGUCUCAGUUCAGAUUGUAGGCUGCAACCCGCCUGCAUGAAGAUGGAGUUGCUAGUAACCGCAGGUCAGCUAUACUGCGGUGAAUACGUUCCGGGCUU
rnacentral:rRNA from 1 species